CCGUAGCCUAGCUGGACAGGGCGUCGGACUUCUAAUCCGAAGGUCCCGGGUUCAAAUCCCGGCGGGU
rnacentral:tRNA from 2 species